UGGGGAAUAUUGCACAAUGGGCGCAAGCCUGAUGCAGCCAUGCCGCGUGUGUGAAGAAGGCCUUCGGGUUGUAAAGCACUUUCAGCGAGGAGGAAGGGUAGUGUGUUAAUAGCACAUUGCAUUGACGUUACUCGCAGAAGAAGCACCGGCUAACUCCGUGCCAGCAGCCGCGGUAAUACGGAGGGUGCAAGCGUUAAUCGGAAUUACUGGGCGUAAAGCGCACGCAGGCGGUUUGUUAAGUCAGAUGUGAAAUCCCCGCGCUUAACGUGGGAACUGCAUUUGAAACGGGCAAGCUAGAGUCUUGUAGAGGGGGGUAGAAUUCCAGGUGUAGCGGUGAAAUGCGUAGAGAUCUGGAGGAAUACCGGUGGCGAAGGCGGCCCCCUGGACAAAGACUGACGCUCAGGUGCGAAAGCGUGGGGAGCAAACA
rnacentral:rRNA from 1 species